GACGAACGCUGGCGGCGUGCUUAACACAUGCAAGUCGAACGGAAAGGCCCUGCUUGCAGGGUACUCGAGUGGCGAACGGGUGAGUAACACGUGGGUGAUCUGCCCUGCACUUCGGGGUAAGCCUGGGAAACUGGGUCUAAUACCGGAUAGGAGCCAUUUUUAGUGUGAUGGUUGGAAAGAUUUUUCGGUGUAGGAUGAGCUGGCGGCCUAUCAGCUUGUUGGUGGGGUAAUGGCCUACCAAGGCGGCGACGUGUAGCCCGCCUGUGAGGGUGGACGGCCACACUGGGACUGAGAGGCGGCCGAGAUGCCGACGGGAGGCCGAAGGGGGGAAUAUUGCACCAUGGGUGCCGGCCUGAUGCAGAGGCGCCGCGUGGGGGAUGGCGGCCUUCGGGUUGUAAACUCGUUUCGCUAGGGACGAAGCUUUUUGUGACGGUACCUAGAGAAGAAGCACCGGCUAACUACGUG
rnacentral:rRNA from 1 species